CCCCUUUUCAAGUAAUGAUUUCCUAUUCCACUCCAGCAGCAGACGUGACAAACACUCUGAAUAAAAGUUUUACAAAACCCAAAAACAUUAGCAGGGAAGUCCUCCCCCUCCCUUGGGAGCAAAGUCCUUCCUCUUCCCUUUUGGGAGUAAUGGAGAGAGAUGAUUAGCAUUUUACCAUGGCCAACUUAUCUUCUCUAAUGAAGAGUUUUCAUUUAAAGCUCCAAUAUUAAGAGAACUACCAGCACAGUGCACCAUGUUUAUUUUGAAGGGAAAGGAGAUGGAAUUGGAAGUCUGGGUUGAACAUUGGCAGCUUCUUCAACUGAAGUUCCAGUGGCAAGGUCUCAGUUCCUUGGAUAACCCUACUACCCUCUCCUGGAUAUUCUCCAAUUUUAAACAUUCUUCUUAAAAUGUGGUGCCUGGUAGUGAACACGAUACCACAGAUGUUUUCUUAGUAUCAGAGAGGACUACAGAAUUAUCACCUCCUUCAUUCUGGACACUGUGCUUCUAGUAAUAAAGUCCAAAGUCAUGUUAGGAAACA
rnacentral:lncRNA from 1 species